AUUGAACGCUGGCGGCAUGCUUUACACAUGCAAGUCGAACGGUAACAGGCCGCAAGGUGCUGACGAGUGGCGAACGGGUGAGUAAUGCAUCGGAACGUGCCCAGUCGUGGGGGAUAACUACUCGAAAGAGUAGCUAAUACCGCAUACGAUCUAUGGAUGAAAGCGGGGGACCGUAAGGCCUCGCGCGAUUGGAGCGGCCGAUGUCAGAUUAGGUAGUUGGGGGGUAAAGGCUCACCAAGCCAACGAUCUGUAGCUGGUCUGAGAGGACGACCAGCCACACUGGGACUGAGACACGGCCCAGACUCCUACGGGAGGCAGCAGUGGGGAAUUUUGGACAAUGGGCGCAAGCCUGAUCCAGCAAUGCCGCGUGCAGGAAGAAGGCCUUCGGGUUGUAAACUGCUUUUGUACGGAACGAAACGGCUCUGGUUAAUACCCGGGGCUAAUGACGGUACCGUAAGAAUAAGCACCGGCUAACUACGUG
rnacentral:rRNA from 1 species